GACGAACGCUGGCGGCGUGCUUAACACAUGCAAGUCGAACGGAAAGGCCCUGCUUUUGUGGGGUGCUCGAGUGGCGAACGGGUGAGUAACACGUGAGUAACCUGCCCUUGACUUUGGGAUAACUUCAGGAAACUGGGGCUAAUACCGGAUAGGAGCUCCUGCUGCAUGGUGGGGGUUGGAAAGUUUCGGCGGUUGGGGAUGGACUCGCGGCUUAUCAGCUUGUUGGUGGGGUAGUGGCUUACCAAGGCUUUGACGGGUAGCCGGCCUGAGAGGGUGACCGGCCACAUUGGGACUGAGAUACGGACCAGACUCCUACGGGAGGCAGCAGUGGGGAAUAUUGCACAAUGGGGGGAAGCCUGAUGCAGAAACGCCGCGUGCGGGAUGACGGCCUUCGGGUUGUAAACCGCUUUCGCCUGUGACGAAGCGUGAGUGACGGUAAUGGGUAAAGAAGCACCGGCUAACUACGUG
rnacentral:rRNA from 1 species